rnacentral:rRNA from 1 species
AUUGAACGCUGGCGGCAUGCCUUACACAUGCAAGUCGAACGGCAGCACGGGAGCAAUCCUGGUGGCGAGUGGCGAACGGGUGAGUAAUAUAUCGGAACGUGCCCAGUCGUGGGGGAUAACGUAGCGAAAGCUACGCUAAUACCGCAUACGAUCUGUGGAUGAAAGCGGGGGAUCGCAAGACCUCGCGCGAUUGGAGCGGCCGAUAUCAGAUUAGGUAGUUGGUGAGGUAAAGGCUCACCAAGCCGACGAUCUGUAGCUGGUCUGAGAGGACGACCAGCCACACUGGGACUGAGACACGGGCCAGACUCCUACGGGAGGCAGCAGUGGGGAAUUUUGGACAAUGGGCGCAAGCCUGAUCCAGCAAUGCCGCGUGCAGGAUGAAGGCCUUCGGGUUGUAAACUGCUUUUGUACGGAGCGAAAAGGCUUCCACUAAUACUGGGGGCUCAUGACGGUACCGUAAGAAUAAGCACCGGCUAACUACGUGCCAGCAGCCGCUGUAAAAC